rnacentral:rRNA from 1 species
AUUGAACGCUGGCGGAAUGCUUUACACAUGCAAGUCGAACGGCAGCACGGACUUCGGUCUGGUGGCGAGUGGCGAACGGGUGAGUAAUGUAUCGGAACGUGCCCAGUCGUGGGGGAUAACGUAGUGAAAAUUACGCUAAUACCGCAUACGAUCUAUGGAUGAAAGCGGGGGAUCGCAAGACCUCGCGCGAUUGGAGCGGCCGAUAUCAGAUUAGGUAGUUGGUGGGGUAAAGGCCCACCAAGCCAACGAUCUGUAGCUGGUCUGAGAGGACGAGCAGCCACACUGGAAGUGAGAAAUGGUCCAGACUCAUACCGGAGGCAGCAGUGGGGAAUUUUGGACAAUGGGCGAAAGCCUAAUCCAGCCAUUCCGCGUGCAGGAUGAAGGCCCUCGGGUUGUAAACUGCUUUUGUGCAGAACGAAAAGGUUUCUACUAAUACUAGGAGCUCAUGACGGUACUGUAAGAAUAAGCACCGGCUAACUACGUGCCAGCCGCCGCAGUAA